GAGUCAGAUGAAUUAUUUGUACAAAAUGGUGUGCAAAUAGAGGCAAAUGGUUUAGAUGAUCACAAUUGUGUUACUGAGGAUGGGCAGAAGGAAUUUGUUGCCCCAGCAGUUGGAAUGGAGUUUGAAUCGUAUGAUGAUGCUUAUAACUAUUAUAAUUGUUAUUCCAGGGAGGUUGGUUUUCGUGUUAGGGUAAAAAAUUCUUGGUUCAAAAGAAAUAGCAGGGAGAAGUAUGGUGCAGUACUAUGCUGUAGUAGUCAGGGUUUCAAGAGGAUUAAAGAUGUAAACCGGCUGCGCAAGGAAACUAGAACUGGUUGUCCUGCAAUGAUGAGGAUGAGAAUGGUGGACUCUAAAAGAUGGAGAGUACUCGAAGUUACUCUUGAACACAAUCAUUCCUUAGGUACAAAAGCAUACAAGACUAUCAUGAAAACAGGUACUGGAAACAAGAAGAAGUUGGAUUCAAACUGUAACGCUGAAGUGCAAACGAUUAAGUUAUACCGGGCACUAGUGAUUGAUGCAGGUGCAACUAGGAAUGCCAAUUUUAGUGCAAGGAGGUGCCAAACUUCAUCUGAUUGCCAUGAUAAGCUGAACUUAAGAAAAGGAGACACACAAGCCAUGUAUAAUUAUUUCUGCCGCAUGCAAUUGACAAAUCCAAACUUCUUUUACCUGAUGGAUCUUGAUGAUGAAGGAUGCCUGAGAAAUGUGUUCUGGGCUGAUGCUAGGUCAAGGGCUGCUUUCAACUCCUUUUCUGAUGCAGUUGCAAUGGAUACAACAAGCUUGAGAAACAAAUAUGGAAUUCCUCUAAUUUCUUUUGUCGGAUUAAACAAUCAUGGGCAACCUGUUUUGCUGGGAUGUGGUUUUCUU
rnacentral:misc_RNA from 1 species